AACGAACGCUGGCGGCAGGCCUAACACAUGCAAGUCGAGCGCGCCCUUCGGGGUGAGCGGCGGACGGGUGAGUAACGCGUGGGAACGUGCCCUUUGCUACGGAAUAGUCUCGGGAAACUGGGGGUAAUACCGUAUGAGCCCUUCGGGGGAAAGAUUUAUCGGCAAAGGAUCGGCCCGCGUUGGAUUAGGUAGUUGGUGGGGUAAUGGCUCACCAAGCCGACGAUCCAUAGCUGGUUUGAGAGGAUGAUCAGCCACACUGGGACUGAGGCACGGCCCAGACUCCUACGGGAGGCAGCAGUGGGGAAUCUUAGACAAUGGGCGCAAGCCUGAUCUAGCCAUGCCGCGUGAGCGAUGAAGGCCUUAGGGUUGUAAAGCUCUUUCGUGGGGGAAGAUAAUGACUGUACCCCAAGAAGAAGCCCCGGCUAACUCCGUG
rnacentral:rRNA from 1 species